CAACCAUGAGGUACAACCAUCUCCACCAUGCAAAAGCGUCGAGUUGUCCUCCUCGGAAGGGAAAGGUCGAACCUAUAACAAGUUUAGUUUUGAAGAAAUGGAAAAACUGAUUGAAGGAGUUGAGAAAUAUGGAGGGAAAUACUGCAAUUGGAAGACUAUUAAGAACCUAUAUUUUAAGGAUUCAGAUCGAUCAAAAGACCAAUUGAAGGAAAAGUGGAGACAUAUGAAGAAAUCUGCAAACAAGCAAACAGAUCCUCAUCUAAAGAAGCUCUAUGUGCGGGCAUUGAAAGUCCAGAUGAGUCCUCCAAAGUCCAAAUC